rnacentral:rRNA from 1 species
GAUGAACGCUAGCGGCAGGCUUAACACAUGCAAGUCGAGGGGCAUCACGGGUAGCAAUACCUGGUGGCGACCGGCGCAAGGGUGCGUAACGCGUGAGCAACAUGCCCUAUACAGGGGGAUAAUCCAGGGAAACUUGGUCUAAUAUCCCAUAGCAUUUAGAGGUGGCAUCACCAUUAAAUUAAAGCUUCGGUGGUAUAGGAUUGGCUCGCGUGACAUUAGCUAGAUGGUGGGGUAACGGCUCACCAUGGCUAUGAUGUCUAGGGGUUCUGAGAGGAAGACCCCCCACACUGGGACUGAGACACGGCCCAGACUCCUACGGGAGGCAGCAGUGAGGAAUAUUGGACAAUGGAUGGAAAUCUGAUCCAGCCAUGCCGCGUGCAGGAAGACGGCCCUAUGGGUUGUAAACUGCUUUUAUAUGGGAGCAAUAAGGUCUACGAGUAGACCGAUGAGAGUACCAUAUGAAUAAGCAUCGGACUAAC